rnacentral:rRNA from 1 species
UACAGAGGGUGCGAGCGUUAAUCGGAAUUACUGGCGUAAAGCGCACGUAGGUGGCGACGUAAGUCGGGUGUGAAAGCCCCGGGCUCAACCUGGGAAUUGCAUUCGAGACUGCAUUGCUGGAGUACGGAAGAGGAAGGCGGAAUUCCCGGUGUAGCGGUGAAAUGCGUAGAUAUCGGGAGGAACAUCGGUGGCGAAGGCGGCAUCCUGGACCAAUAUUGACGCUGAGGAGCGAAAGCCAGGGGAGCAAACGGG